GUCAUAUCUUAGUUAAUGUGGAGAGUCAGAAAACAGACCUUGCUGUUCGAAAGUCUUCUUAAAUUUUAUUUUUCAUUUUUCUCGUCAUUUUCCUAUAUUUGUCCGUUCUGGUGGAACCGAGGAACGAGAGAAGCAUUUGGUAAGUGUGGACAAUAGGCGUGUGGCGCUCCAGGACCGCGUUGUGUCAAUCUUUUCGGCUCUGCGGUGCAGUGAGGUGAUGUGCAGCGACCAAACCCGGACCCACAGCAUGUCCAAACCGAUUAGGGGUCAGGGACGACUGAAGCAAGACCUCUACAAUUAUAUUCCUUACAGCAGUCUCCAACCAAAAAUAUGACCUCUAAAUCCCAGACUAACUCAACGAAUCUAAAACUGUUGACUUGUGGGUAAAUAAAGUGUUCAGGAAUAAUUAUCAGUACAUCAGUGCAACCACGUCAAAUGAAAUGCUCCUGUGAGCAUAAAAAGCGAACAUAAUCCAGCAGCUUCAAUAUUGACCAACAACUCAACAUAAACAUUUUUCUUGACUUUCCAACUCUGCGGAAGACUGGCAAGAGAAAUUCGAUUGAGGUUAUAGAUCUCGUAGUCCCAUCACUGGAACAGCUGUUAUUUCUCCCCUAAACCCGAUAAUCAAACACAGACACGGCGACCGUUUAGGCCUGGCAUACCAGACCAAGGAUUAACAGUCUUUUAUAUUCAAAUUUAACUAUACCACACGACUAAAUCAGAAUAAGCAUUCAUUUAUAAAAUUGCUUCCACAAAUUUGAUUAUCAACGAAUCAGAUAUAUCUGUCACAUUAAGUCUUAACACUUUGUUUACAUUUGAGAUGGAUGGAAAAUGUGCUACUUAGGAAGGAAAGCGCGAUGAUGACUCACCACCAUGAUGCAAUUAAUUUUUUUUCCCCUAUGGAAAGCGAUGUGCUUAUUAAAAUCAACAUUUAAAAUGUAUAAUAGGCUAAUUUUAUAGGCUAUUAUCUUAUGCAAAAGAAUAACCGUUCUUGAUGCAGGUAAACAUCAACAAAAACUAUAAGAAAAUCUACCUCAUUAUCUCAUUAGCGACAGCCAACCAAAGAGCAGUGACAAGAAAUUAUUAUAUUAUUCCCCGCUGGGCCCGAAUGGAAACGAGCAGUCUUUGAGAGUGGUCGCUCUAGUUUAGAUUAAUGGUUCCCAACGCUUAUUCUGCAGUGCGGGUGAAAGGGCCAGGAUCACUAAUGAUUAUAAUAUAAUGUGUGGUGAUAACCACUCCCUUUGAGAUAUUAUCGCGCAGUGGGCAAUGCUCAGGGGACGGGCUGCGGGGCUGAAAAUCAGCAGAUAGCUACUAAACAGGAGCAGAUUUCUGCACUGAAGCUCCAAGAGCAUGCACGAGUACAGUCCUGUCUGCUGCUGAUAUCAACAGCCAGGGGCUGAAUUAAAACAUUCUAUUUUUAUUUUUUUUUGCAAGCUAAGAAUGACUUUUUUCCCCUUAAAAAAAGAAAAGAAAGAAAGAACGAAAACAACAACAAAAAAAAAAGCCAAGGACUAUUCUGUGAAUAGCUGCCAUUAAAUACUGACUACAAAUGAUGAACUUGGGGGAACAGAUUAUUAUUUUUUUCUGUGUGAUGACGAUUUAAGAUGCGUUACUUACAUCUGAUUAUUGUACAAUAAACGAGGUUGGCUCUUUAAAAGCUGUAAGAUAAUCUUAACUAACAUCCUACGUUAUUUUUGGAGGGCCUGUUCACAAACCAGACCGCUUGUUUUGUAGAACCGGUGCAACAUAAUGAAUCUGUCAGGCCCAAAGGUAUUGAAUUACCAACCAAACUUUCCUCAAUAUAAAAAUAGCGCGUAGAGAUGCUAAAUAUCUUCGAGGCGCUUAAAGUUAUAGGCUACUUAAAGAUUUCUCAAAUGAAUAAAAAAUGUUUACGGCUAUGAUAAGACAGGGUUUCAGAAAUAGUAAAGCUCAACUUCAUAUAGUCUAUAGAAAUGAAUUAAAGUGACCGAAGAUAAACGCGUUUAAUGUGACUGCACGAGAUGUGGAUCUUACAUUAUGGCUACAGUAGAAAACGUAACAGAUGCAAACAGAAGAGCAUUACAAUGGCAGACAUCAAAAUUUGCAAUAAUCAACAUGCAUUAGUAGCAUAUUAAGUGCCGCUUUGCAUCUGAUAAACUGUGAAAGCAAGAGGAAAGAUCCGUUUAAACGACACACAUUAGAUUUAGAUACAUGUGAUCUGAAGCGCUGGCUUGUCUACGAACGUUUUCACGUGAUAGACCAAUAUGUUUUUAGGAAACGUGCAGAAGUGAUGAAGAACUUCAUUGGUGCGACUAGCAGAAAAUAUAACAACCACUUGAAACUCAAAGAAUAGGCCUACCUAUAGCCUUUAAAUUGACAAAAAUGUAAACGGAUGCUAAUCGAUGUAAUCCAAGUUCAGAAACAAAAAAAUACGAACAGACCGGACACAUCCCUUCUCAUGGCAAUCGACUGCCAUGGAUCAAUAAUAAAGCUGCCUGACUAACUUCUCCGAGAGUCUGCAGUGAACACAGGAAAAGGGGGGUGAUCCUAAAGGACCACGAGAGACAAGACCCCGGCAAUCCCUCCUCAUUCAUCUUCAUUGCCUUUGUGUGCACAAAAAGCAAGCCCUGCAUAAGGUAAAGCCACCAUCAAAGCCAUGGCUUUAUUUUAUAUCCUAUAGAUCAGGAGGGAGACAAAGCUUUAUUUUCGCCAGGAGAGAGAUAUUUUACCUCCGCCGUACGGUUUUAUGUUGGAGAGGUGUCAGACAGACGAAAUGAAUGGCUAAUGCAUAGGCAAAACGCACUCACCCCAGCAUGCCUCACGUCAGCAGGCGCUGUCGGGAUUUAGGGCCGGUGGAAGCCGAGCGCGUGUUUGAGCACGAGCAUAUAAAUACGUGAUGUUCUCGACUAGUCCAGAUACAUGUGCCUACAGUGCCAUUUUUAAACCUAUACGACCAGUGAUAGUUAUAGUAAUAGUUAAGGAGAUUUAUAAAUGGAUUCCUCGCCAUACUCCGAAUCUCCUCACUGUUAGUCAUCACCACCACAUGAGCCCGGUCUCAUGAAAAUGCGUGUAAAUUGUACGCCAAAUACAAACAGAAAAUCGUGCUAUUGAUACGCAGAAAUGGAUUUGCAUAUACUUGUUAAAAUACGUAGUUUUCGCGUACAUAUGAUACGCAUCUACCCCACAACCCUAAUCCAACCCACUGCGUAUCAUAUGCACGCCAAAGUCUAUUUCUGCGUAUAAAUAGUACGCCAAAUCGAAACAUAGACUCCUGCUAUUGAUACGCACUUUCAUGAGAUCGGGUAGUUUUAAAUAGAAAUAUAUGGUAGUAAUUUAUGGUUAGGACUUGAAUAUAAACAACAGGCAUGCUUUUGAGCUUCGUUGAGGAUGCUUGGUCUUAUGAGGUUGUGAAUAAAUUAUAUCGCACUGCUAAUAAUCUCAUUUUGCACCAGCCUCUUAUCCUACUUGGGAUCCCCUCCAAAUUAUGCAGCGUUUUCAAUUCGUUAUAUGGGCAACAUUUUAUUUUAAUGGGACAGUUUAUUUCAGGGAGUGGAUUAUAUGCAUUGACUGUGGCUAUCUCAGUCACAAACAGUGAGCAUGUAGUGUAUCCGCCAUCAUUUCUGUGUCCAUCUACUUAUGUUCUGUCAAGUAUUAGUUCAGGAUAUAUUUUGCUAACCUUUUUAGCAAAUGCCGACCUCAAAAAAAAAAAAAAAAAAAAAAGAGGAGCUUUCUGGAUUUCUAGAAUCUUUUACUCAUCUUGGCUUAGAUACUGUAUAAAGCAAACUAGUACCGUGCACUGAUAAAGAAAAUUAUUGUUAGAUGAUGACAUUGGCCUCUGAAAACCAAGACUUUCUAAACCGUUCCAAUUUGAAAGGGACAAAAGUUGAACUGAACUGCUCACAUAGAGAAAAAAAUACUACAUGCUGCACCGAAAAGAAAAUAUUCUCAUUUUCAGCAGACAACAAAAGCCAAGAAACUGGUUAGAAUGCUGAAUGCCAGACAAACCCAUUUUUGCUGCGGGCCCUCCUGUUGUUCCAGGGCCAUUAGUUGAAUGAGGUGCUGCUCCACUGUACUCCAGCAGUUCCUCACUGUACGUUUGGUGAGAUAUCUCGGCUGCUUUACUCACAGACUACAGACUUUCAUAUUCCUCCUGCUGUGUCUGGAGAGCUGAAACAGAGGGUGGGCAUGCAAAUAGUUUUCUCUGUACGGUGAGCUCAGAUGAGACCGUUACCUUGUUUGGAACUGUUUUUCCUCUUGUGUGUUUGUGCCUGAGUGGGCCAUCAGGUAGGCAUGGUGGGAGGCAGGGCUGUAGGAACGGGGAGUGAUGGGUUGAAAAGGUGAAGAGGUCAUGACCUCUGGGUGUUUUAUGAGAGACUGAGGCUGAUUUGUCUUCAGCGGAGCAUGCUGUUGGCAUCUUCACACCCUUGAGUUGCUGGCUGGCAAGGCAGGUCGGGAUAGGGGGGUUGCUGGCUGUAAAUUAGCACACUGGCAUAGUGACAGGCAGUCAGGGCCAUGGGAAUGGCACCCACCUUGACCUGUUUGCGGGUCUGCCGGGUCCAGAUGGCAGGGACCGCUGGAGCAGACCUUAGUUUGAAAAUACCAUCUAAAAGAGCACACACCCUUAAGGCAUCCUAAUCACACUGUGUCUGAACAGAUUGCAGUGUAACUCUCCCCAUUGAUGAAGCUGUAUCUAAAUUUCAUCUAUACGUAACUUGAUAAAUAGGCUUCACAUACAAUUACAAAUUACAGUCCUCUGGGGGAAAAAAAAUGUAAUAAAAGCAAAAAGAUAUAUACAAAAUUAAGCAUUAUAUAAUAUCAAAAAUAAUUAUAUUAAAAUAUAACAAAAAUGCAGUUAUACAUGUAUGUAUAGACCAGGCUGAAAAUCACACUUUCAGUCUUUCAGUUUUCAUUCAAGAAUAAUUUAUUGCAAAUUAGAAUAUAAUUAUAAAAAAUAAGUAUACAUAAUGUAUGUAGUUAAUGUUUUUUUUUUUUUCAUUUAGUACUGUCCUGAACAAUAUAUUUUACGUAAAAGAUGUUUAUAUGUAGUCCACAAGACAAAAUGAUGGCUGAAUUCAUAAAAAUUACCCCGUUGAACAGUUUACAAAAGCUUUUUUUUUUUGUGAUGAUUGUUCAUGAAUCCCUUGCCGGUCCUGAACUGUUAAACUGCUCACCGUUCUUCUGAAAAAUCCCACAUAUUGUUUGAAUUUCCAGCAUCUUUUGCAUAUUUGAAACCUUUCCCGCAGUGACUGUUUUUUUUUAAUCCAUUGAGUUCUAUCUAUCUGUCUGUCUAUCUGUCUAUCUAUCUAUCUAUCUAUCUAUCUAUCUAUCUAUCUAUCUAUCUAUCUAUCUAUCUAUCUAUCUAUCUAUCUAUCUAUCUAUCUAUCUAUAUAUAUAUAUGUGUGUGUGUAUAACGUAUAUACACAUUGUGUAUAUACGUUAUAUAUUAAAUGUAUUAUGUGAAUGCUCUAGUGUACAUGUCAAUGCCCUGGUGUAUAAAUAAAAAAAUGCUAAAUUUCA